rnacentral:rRNA from 1 species
CCAGUGAAGUUAUUUCAACGGCCGCGGUACUCUGACCGUGCAAAGGUAGCAUAAUCAUUUGCCUUAUAAUUGAAGGCUGGUAUGAAUGGUUUGACAAGAAUAUAGCUGUCUCUUUAUAAUUUAAUAGAACUUUAUUUUGGGGUGAAGAAGCCCCAAUUAAAUUAAAAGACAAGAAGACCCUAUCGAGCUUUAAAAAAAUUAAUGGAAUAUGCAAUAUUAAUACAAAGAUAAAAAAUUAGCUAUUAAAAAUUUUGGUUGGGGCGACUAAGGAACAAAAAUAGCUUCCUUUAUAAAUGUUAUAACAUACAGGUAUUGAUCCAAAAUUUUUGAUUAAAGGAAUUAGUUACCGUAGGGAUAACAGCAUUAUCCUCUUUGAGAGUUCUUAUCGAAAAGGGGGUUUGUGACCUCGAUGUUGGACCAGAAUAUCCUAAAGAUGCAGAAGUCUUUAAGGGUUGGUCUGUUCGACCAUUAAAAUUCU